rnacentral:rRNA from 1 species
ACGGAGGGUGCAAGCGUUAUCCGGAAUCAUUGGGUUUAAAGGGUCCGCAGGCGGGUCUAUAAGUCAGUGGUGAAAUCUCUCGGCUUAACCGAGAAACUGCCAUUGAUACUGUAGGUCUUGAAUUCGGUCGAAGUGGGCGGAAUAUGACAUGUAGCGGUGAAAUGCUUAGAUAUGUCAUAGAACACCGAUAGCGAAGGCAGCUCACUAGGCCUGGAUUGACGCUCAGGGACGAAAGCGUGGGGAGCAAACAGGAUUAGAUACCCUGGUAGUCCACGCCGUAAACGAUGAUUACUCGAUAUUGGCGAUAUACAGUCAGUGUCUAAGCGAAAGUGAUAAGUAAUCCACCUGGGGAGUACGAUCGCAAGGUUG